AACGAACGCUGGCGGCAUGCCUAACACAUGCAAGUCGAACGAGACCUUCGGGUCUAGUGGCGCACGGGUGCGUAACGCGUGGGAAUCUGCCCUCUGGUACGGAAUAACUCAGGGAAACUUGAGCUAAUACCGUAUAAUGACUUCGGUCCAAAGAUUUAUCGCCUGAGGAUGAGCCCGCGUCGGAUUAGCUAGUUGGUGAGGUAAAAGCUCACCAAGGCGACGAUCCGAGCUGGUCUGAGAGGAUGAUCAGCCACACUGGGACUGAGACACGGCCCAGACUCCUACGGGAGGCAGCAGUGGGGAAUAUUGGACAAUGGCGAAAGCCUGAUCCAGCAAUGCCGCGUGAGUGAUGAAGGCCUUAGGGUUGUAAAGCUCUUUUACCCGGGAUGAUAAUGACAGUACCGGGAGAAUAAAGCCCCGGCUAACUCCGUGCCAGCCGCCGCCGUAAU
rnacentral:rRNA from 1 species